UGUAAUUUUCUCCAAUCGCUUUAACAUUAAGAUCAUAGUUAUGCUGUACUUGGUAGUAGCCGUCCUGUUUGGAUUCGCAACAGCUGAGCCAACACGGCCUGGAUGCUGUGUUCCACCUCAAUGGGAAGGUAUCGAAGGAAGCAUUAUCGGGAUGGUACGAGAUGGUGUCUCAUCGGUAACUGAUACACAGACAUUAAUAUCAUAUGAUGAAACAAACCAAAUGAUCUUGGCCAACACAUACACUGAAGCUGCUGGACAAAAAAUUAAUGUGAAGGUCCUACAGGACUUUAACAAGGGUAUGCAAUAUGUGAUAAAUGUCGACCAGAAAACAUGUACAGGAACACCGAUGCCAGGACCAUUCACAAAAGUUUGUCUACCAGCUGAUGCUGAAGUUCUAGGAAACAUUUAUUUUGGUAUUGGAGACAAUAGAUUUGACGCCCUUUCUUUCAGGGCAACAGUUAACAACACUAGAGUCACUGUAGUUACUACCCCUGAGGAUUGUAUUCCUGUAUUGGAAACUCUUGCAGGAAAUUUCAGUGGAGCGCCAACAAUGGAUACCAUUGGCUUUGUCAAUCUGACACCUGGAAUCAGGGAUCCAGCUGUCUUUGAUGUACCAUCUUUCUGUACACAGAAAAAGCCAACUGGAUUUGUCAAAAUUCAUCAGAAAAGAGGCGUUCUAGUAUUUUAAUACAGCUGAAGAAUACAAACCUUUGUUAGUUAUAUGACGGAACUCCCCAAUAAAUACUUACUGGUCUGUUUUGAAUGUUUAUCAUUAGUGUAUGUGUCGAUUUACUAAAGUAAUACAUUUUGGCAGCAUCUGUUUUAAU